rnacentral:lncRNA from 1 species
AAAACCCAAUCCACAAAGAUUGGCAAAAACCAAAACCAACCCACAUCCUCCUCCCAAACCCAGCAAUGUCUCUCCUCCAAUCUCUCAAACUCACCACCCCAUUCCUCCAUGGCUCCAGCAACCUCUCUCUCCUCUCCAAACCUUCCUCCACCUCCCUCGCCUCACCACCACCCCCACCCACCUUUCUCCCCCCAAUCCGUGCUAUGAAGUCCAUGCAGGGCCGAGUUGUUUGCGCCACCAGUGAUAAGACUGUGGCUGUGGAGGUGGUCAGACUUGCGCCACACCCAAAGUACAAGAGGAGAGUGAGGAAGAAGAAGAAGUACCAGGCACAUGACCCAGACAACCAGUUCAAAGUUGGGGACGUUGUGCAGC